GGGAAAGUUCGAUAGAACGUCGGUUGAAAGAAGGUAGAGCAAAAGCAGCGAUGGAUCAUAGACCAUCGGAAAAUCAGGAAAAAAAAGUGUCUAUAAUUGUGCCCGAUUUACCUCAAGGUCAAAUGAGGAUCCAAAGGCGUCCCACAGGCUACCCCAGAAGGGAGCUCAUCGACAAAACAAUUUUA